rnacentral:misc_RNA from 1 species
AACGCACAUUGCGCCCACUGGUAUUCCGGUGGGCAUGCCUGUUCGAGCGUCAUUAUCCCCCCUCAAAACUCCUGUUUUGGUGUUGGGCCACGUCGGUCACCCCGACCGACGGGCCUCAAAGACAAUGACGGCGUCCGUGGGACCCUCUUCGCAACGAGCUUUCGUUAGCACGCGUCGAGUCUAAAGGACCUUCCGGGCCGGCCACCUUUUAUCUAUAUCACAAGGUUGACCUCGGAUCAGGUAGGAAUACCCGCUGAACUUAA